GUUUGGAGGUGAAUACAGAGAGAAUGGUUAGUAAGCUUGCAAAUGACAACAAAAUUGGUGCUUUAGUGGACAGUGAAGAAGAUUAUCUCAGAGUAAAACAACGCCCUGAUCAGGACACAUCUAUAAUGGUCUACUCACCACAAAAGGAAUUUAAUCGUAAAGAUAGUAAGAACUGCCAAUGCUGGAGUCUGAGAUAACACAGUGUGGAACUGGAGGAACACAGCAAGCCAGGCAGUAUCAGAGGAGCAGGAAAGCUGACAUUUCGAGUCGGGACCCUUCUUCAGGAAGAUACGAGACCUGCUGAGCUGAAUUGCAGUGUUGGAGCUCCACAUGGUGGUGAAUACAUCACUAAGAUUCUGCAACUGCAUAUAAAUCGAUCGCAUGCAAAAACUUGCAACUUAAAAAUUUUUGGACAAAAGAGGAGAUUUUAUUUGACAAAGAGAUUCUGUACCCCAAUAUUGGAAAGAAUUGUUCUGAAAUAAAUUAAUUUUUCAGCUGCAACAUAAUGUCAACUAUUAAAAAUCCCUUCUCAAGGACCUUUACAGUGAGGAUGGUGCUCUCUCAAUCCGGCAAGGCCUCAACAUGGACUUCCAGUCUCGAGGUGAUUCCCCAAAGUGUGAUCCCACCGUGACUAAGCACUUUAGAGAGACUAACAUUUGAACUUUCAUCUCUAUUUUCAACUUAAAGAAAGUCUAGAAUGUGUAACCUUUAAUACUGCUUUGUACGUUUUCCAUUAUGUUUUAAUUAUUGCAAUGUUUAAUUUUAACUUUGUUCUUUUUUUCUACCUUGUUCUUAACAUUCUGGACCUAGGUACUUGUACCAAAGGUAGCACCUUGUCUGACGAUAUUAUACAUUUUUCACUGUACUCCUGUCCUUUUGAACUU